rnacentral:rRNA from 1 species
GAUGAACGCUGGCGGCAUGCCUAAUACAUGCAAGUCGAGCGAACAGAUGAAGUGCUUGCACUUCUGACGUUAGCGGCGAACGGGUGAGUAACACGUAAGGAAUCUACCUAUAAGCGGGGGAUAACAUUCGGAAACGGGUGCUAAUACCGCAUAAUAUCUUCUUCCGCAUGGAAGAAGAUUGAAAGACGGCCCUGCUGUCACUUAUAGAUGACCUUGCGGUGCAUUAGUUAGUUGGUGGGGUAACGGCCUACCAAGACGAUGAUGCGUAGCCGACCUGAGAGGGUGAUCGGCCACAUUAGGACUGAGACACGGCCCAAACUCCUACGGGGGGCAGCAGUAGGGACUCAUCCGCAAUGGGCGACAGCCUGACGGAGCAAUGCCGCGUGAGUGAAGAAGGCCUUCGGGUCGUAAAACUCUGUUAUAAGAGAAGAACAAAUUGUAGAGUAACUGCUACAGUCUUGACGGUAUCUUAUCAGAAAGCCACGGCUAACGACGUGCCAGCCGCCGCCGUAA